GCUCAUCUUCUUCUGUACAGCCUCACAACCUUCCUCCUCGUCCCCUUCGCAACCUUCCUCCUCGUCCUCUUCCGUGUAGCAGCUCUGCGAACUUGGUGGUCCUCAGGUAUCUCUCUCUCUCUCUCUCUCUCUCUCUCUCUCUCUCUCCUCUGUACGGAGGAUUUGCAUUUUGGGUUGCAGACCCGGUGCCUCGGGGCAGACGGUGGUAACUCCCUCCCCUCUCAAAAAUCUCUGAUCGAAGGUUUUAAAAUCUUCAACUUGGAUACAAGAUUUAAUAUAACAUGAGCACUCGGGGGGCCAGGGCGCCACAUGCAAGAGGGCGGCGAAGAAAGAAUGAGUUGAACUUGGACCUCAAUAGUGCCCCACCUGGUGACAGUCGGGAACAGGAGGGAACUUCAACUCAGUCAGUGCCUCAGAAUAAUCAAGCGACUUUGCAAGUUCAGCCCAUACCACCUAAUACGAUUGAUGUUGAGGCUAUUGAUGAUGAUGUUAUUGAAUCCAGCCCCACGGCUUUUGCUGAGGC